CCCUACGGGGUGCACCAGGCGCGAAAACUUUACAAUGCUGGCAAAACCGAUAAGGGAACCUCGAAUUGCAGGUCACAAAUCUGGUUCUCGAGAUGCGUAGAAACCAGGUGGAGCGAAGGGCCGGGCAUACGG
rnacentral:rRNA from 1 species